rnacentral:rRNA from 1 species
GAUGAACGCUAGCUACAGGCUUAACACAUGCAAGUCGAGGGGCAGCAUGAACUUAGCUUGCUAAGUUUGAUGGCGACCGGCGCACGGGUGAGUAACACGUAUCCAACCUGCCGAUGACUCGGGGAUAGCCUUUCGAAAGAAAGAUUAAUACCCGAUGGCAUAGUUCUUCCGCAUGGUAGAACUAUUAAAGAAUUUCGGUCAUCGAUGGGGAUGCGUUCCAUUAGGUUGUUGGCGGGGUAACGGCCCACCAAGCCUUCGAUGGAUAGGGGUUCUGAGAGGAAGGUCCCCCACAUUGGAACUGAGACACGGUCCAAACUCCUACGGGAGGCAGCAGUGAGGAAUAUUGGUCAAUGGACGAGAGUCUGAACCAGCCAAGUAGCGUGAAGGAUGACUGCCCUAUGGGUUGUAAACUUCUUUUAUAAGGGAAUAAACCCUCCCACGUGUGGGAGCUUGUAUGUACCUUAUGAAUAAGCAUCGGCUAACUCCGUGCCAGCAG